rnacentral:rRNA from 1 species
CCUACGGGUGGCAGCAGUGGGGGAUAUUGCUCAAUGGGCGAAACCCUGAUCCAGCGACGCCGCGUGCGGGAAGACGGUCCUCUGGAUUGUAAACCACUGUCGCCAGGGACGAAGAUGACGGUACCGGGGGAGGAAGCUCCGGCAAACGACGUGCCAGCAGCCGCGGUAAUACGUAGGGAGCGAGCGUUGUCCGGAAUUACUGGGUGUAACGGGUGCGUAGGCGGGGAGGUAAGUUGGGUGUCAAAACUACCGGCUCAACUGGUAGUCGCCCUCGAAACUGGAGGUCUUGAGUGAAGUAGAGGCAGGCGGAAUUCCUAGUGUAGCGGUGAAAUGCGUAGAUAUUAGGAGGAACACCAGUGGCGAAGGCGGCCUGCUGGGCUUUUACUGACGCUGAGGCUCGAAAGUGUGGGGAGCAAACAGGAUUAGAUACCCCAGUAGUC